AUACGUAGGUGGCAAGCGUUGUCCGGAAUCAUUGGGCGUAAAGCGCGCGUAGGUGGCUUGUCAGGUCCGAUGUGAAAACCUGGGGCUCAACUCCAGGCCUGCAUCGGAAACCGGCUUGCUAGAGUCUGGGAGAGGAGAGUGGAAUUCCUGGUGUAGCGGUGAAAUGCGUAGAUAUCAGGAGGAACACCGGUAGCGAAGGCGGCUCUCUGGAACAGUACUGACGCUGAGGUGCGAAAGCUAGGGGAGCGAACAGGAUUAGAUACCCUGGUAGUCCUAGCCGUAAACGAUGGACACUAGGUGUCGGGGGUGUCGACUCCCUCGGUGCCGAAGCUAACGCAUUAAGUGUCCCGCCUGGGGAGUACGGCCGCAAGGCUAAA
rnacentral:rRNA from 1 species